rnacentral:rRNA from 1 species
GAUGAACGCUGGCGGCGUGCUUAACACAUGCAAGUCGAACGGUGAAGCGCCUUCCUUUUUGGUGGGUGUGGAUGAGUGGCGAACGGGUGAGUAACACGUGAGUAACCUGCCCCCUUCUUCUGGAUAACCGCAUGAAAGUGUGGCUAAUACGGGAUAUUCUGGGUCUGUCGCAUGAUGGGUCUGGGAAAGAUAUUGUUUCGGUGGGGGAUGGGCUCGCGGCCUAUCAGCUUGUUGGUGGGGUGAUGGCCUACCAAGGCGGUGACGGGUAGCCGGCCUGAGAGGGUGGACGGUCACGCGGGGAGUGAGACACGGCCCGGCUUCCUACGGGAGGCAGCAGUGGGGAAUAUUGCACAAUGGGCGCAAGCCUGAUGCAGCGACGGCGCGAGAGGGAUGGAGGCCUUCGGGUUGUGAACCUCUUUCGCCAGUGAAGCAGGCCUGCCUCGUUUGUGGGUGGGUUGACGGUAGCUGGAUAAGAAGCGCCGGCUAACUACAUG